UCGAGAAUUUUUCACAAUGGGCGCAAGCCUGAUGGAGCGACGCCGCGUGGGGGAUGAAUGGCUUCGGCCCGUAAACCCCUGUCAUUUGCGAUCAACCGUUAUUAUUUAAAAGAUGAUGACCUGAUGGUAGCGAAAGAGGAAGGGACGGCUAACUCUGUG
rnacentral:rRNA from 1 species